AUUGAACGCUGGCGGAAUGCUUUACACAUGCAAGUCGGGCGGCAGCGCGGGGGCAACCCUGGCGGCGAGCGGCGAACGGGUGAGUAACACAUCGGAACGUACCCUGUCGUGGGGGAUAACGAAUCGAAAGAUUCGCUAAUACCGCAUACGACCUGAGGGUGAAAGCGGGGGAUCGCAAGACCUCGCGCGAGAGGAGCGGCCGAUGGCGGAUUAGCUAGUUGGUGGGGUAAAGGCCCACCAAGGCGACGAUCCGUAGCGGGUCUGAGAGGACGGCCCGCCACACUGGGACUGAGACACGGCCCAGACUCCUACGGGAGGCAGCAGUGGGGAAUUUUGGACAAUGGGGGCAACCCUGAUCCAGCCAUUCCGCGUGAGUGAAGAAGGCCUUCGGGUUGUAAAGCUCUUUCGGCAGGAACGAAACGGCGGGCUCUAACAUAGCCUGU
rnacentral:rRNA from 1 species